rnacentral:misc_RNA from 1 species
GUGAAUCAUCGAAUCUUUGAACGCAACUUGCACUUUCUGGCAUUCCGGAAAGCAUGCCUGUUUGAGGGUCAGUUAAAUAAAAAUCGGUGUUGUUGCUGCUUUUCGGGGUGACGCGUUGGAAUUGGGGCGUCCUACUUUCGGUUAAGGUACUUAAAAUUUUUGCAUGAUUUUCGAACGGAUUUAAAUCGCUUACGUACGCUCGAGAUAUCGAAUGCUUCUUAGGUACGGCAAUUCCCAU